rnacentral:rRNA from 1 species
CACCGACUAUGCAGUCGAGCGGUGGCACAGGGAGACUUGCUCCUGGGUGACGAGCGGCGGACGGGUGAGUAAUGUCUGGGAAACUGCCUGAUGGAGGGGGAUAACUACUGGGAAACGGUAGCUAAUACCGCAUAACGUCGCAAGACCAAAGAGGGGGACCUUCGGGCCUCUUGCCAUCUGAUGUGCCCAGAUGGGAUUAGCUAUUAGGUGGGGUAAUGGCUCACCUAGGCGACAAUCCCUAGCUGGUCUGAGAGGAUGACCACCCACACUGGAACUGAGACACGGUCCACACUCCUACGGGAGGCAGCAGUGGGGAAUAUUGCACAAUGGGCGCAAGCCUGAUGCACCCAUGCCGCGUGUAUAAAGAAAGCCUUCGGGUUGUAAAGUACUCUCAGCGAGGAGGAAGGCGUUGUGGUUAAUAACCACAGUGAUAGACGUUACUCUCACAAGAAACACCGGCUAUCUCCGUGCCAGCAGCCGCGGUAAUACGGAGGGUGCACGCGUUAAUCUGAAUUACUGUGCGUAAAGCGCACGCA